GAUGAACGCUGGCGGCGUGCCUAACACAUGCAAGUCGAGCGAACCGGGGACGGGUGAGUCACACGUGGCUACCUUCCUAUAAGACUGGGAUAACUUCGGGGACCCGGAGCUAAACCCGACCCUUAUUGAUGGUUCCGCGCUGCAUUAGCUAGUGGGUAAGGUAACGGCUUACCAAGGCAACGCUGCAUAGCCGACCUGAGAGGAUGAUCGGCCACACUGGAACUGAGACACGGUCCAGACUCCUACGGGAGGCAGCAGUAGGGAAUCUUCCACAAUGGGCGAAAGCCUGACGGAGCAACGCCGCGUGAGUGAUGAAGGUCUUCGGAUCGUAAAACUCUGUUAUUAGGGAAGCGGUACCUAAUCAGAAAGCCACGGCUAACUCCGUGCCAGCAGCCGCGGUAAUAC
rnacentral:rRNA from 1 species